CACGUAGUUAGCCGGGGCUUCUUGGUCAGGUACCGUCUUGCUUCUUCCCUGCUGAUAGAGCUUUACAUACCGGAGUACCCCUUCACUCACGCGGCGUCGCUGCAUCAGGGUUCCCCCCAUUGUGCAAUAUCCCCCACUGCUGCCUCCCGUAGGAGUUUGGGCCGUGUCUCAGUCCCAAUGUGGCCGGUCACCCUCUCAGGUCGGCUACCGAUCGUCGCCUUGGUGGGCCGUUACCCCACCAACCAGCUGAUCGGACGCGGGUCCAUCCUAUACCACCGGAGUUUUCCACACUGUCCCAUGCGGGACUGUGCGCUCAUGCGGUAUUAGCAGCCAUUUCUAGCUGUUAUCCCCCAGUAUAGGGCAGGUUACCCACGCGUUACUCACCCGUCCGCCACUAAGUCAUGCCCCUCUCCGCCCGAAGGCCUCGAGGGACGUGCUUCGUUCGACUUGCAUGUGUUAGGCACGCCGCCAGCGUUCAUCCUGAGCCAGGAUCAAACUCU
rnacentral:rRNA from 1 species